rnacentral:rRNA from 1 species
AUUGAACGCUGGCGGCAUGCUUUACACAUGCAAGUCGAACGGUAACAGGCCGCAAGGUGCUGACGAGUGGCGAACGGGUGAGUAAUGCAUCGGAACGUGCCCAGUCGUGGGGGAUAACGCAGCGAAAGCUGCGCUAAUACCGCAUACGAUCUAUGGAUGAAAGCGGGGGACCGAAAGGCCUCGCGCGAUUGGAGCGGCCGAUGUCAGAUUAGGUAGUUGGUGGGGCAAAGGCUCACCAAGCCAACGAUCUGUAGCUGGUCUGAGAGGACGACCGGCCACACUGGGCGUGAGACACGGCCCAGACUCCUACGGGAGGCAGCAGUGGGGAAUUUUGGACAAUGGGCGCAAGCCUGAUCCAGCAAUGCCGCGUGCAGGAAGAAGGCCUUCGGGUUGUAAACUGCUUUUGUACGGAACGAAAAGGCUCUGGUUAAUACCUGGGGCUCAUGACGGUACCGUAAAAAUAAGCACCGGCUAACUACGUGCCAGCCGCCGCCGUAAUAC